GUGGGGAAUAUUGCACAAUGGGCGGAAGCCUGAUGCAGCGACGCCGCGUGAGGGAUGACGGCCUUCGGGUUGUAAACCUCUUUCAGCAGGGACGAAGCGUAAGUGACGGUACCUGCAGAAGAAGCACCGGCUAACUAUGUGCCAGCAGCCGCGGUAAUACGUAGGGUGCGAGCGUUGUCCGGAAUUACUGGGCGUAAAGAGCUCGUAGGCGGUUUGUCACGUCGUCUGUGAAAUCCUAGGGCUUAACCCUGGACGUGCAGGCGAUACGGGCUGACUUGAGUACUACAGGGGAGACUGGAAUUUCUGGUGUAGCGGUGGAAUGCACAGAUAUCAGGAAGAACACCGAUGGCGAAGGCAGGUCUCUGGGUAGUAACUGACGCUGAGGAGCGAAAGCAUGGGUAGCGA
rnacentral:rRNA from 1 species